rnacentral:lncRNA from 1 species
ACUCUGGACAUGUGGUGUGGGCUCCUUUGGAGGCUGUUGAAUCCCUUCUGAAUGUGGUGCGGGCAUAGAAGGAAGGCCAUGAGGGACAAUCUUGGUCUUGGGAGAUCCCUGGAAAUGAUAGGGAGCCCCUUGAUAUGUGUGGCAUGGGCUCCUUCAGGUGCUAGCGCUUUCCUCAGGAUGGUGGUGUUGGCGUAAAAGGCAGGCUUGUAUCAUGAGGAGUGAUUGUCAUCUCGUAUGAUCCUUGGAGAUGGCAGGAAGCCCCUGGACACACAUGUUGUGGACUCCUUCAGAGGCUGUUGAAACCUUCCUUAAUAUGAGGCCAGAGACAGGUGGACAGCAAAUGUAUCGCAGCGGGCUGGAUGACGUGGCCGUUGGAACCUGUGCACAUGCCUGCCUUUCUGAUACACGUCCGUGUUUUCUCUACAUCUCCCCAGUGGUGUUGGUGUAAAAAGCAGGCUCAUGUUAGCAAGGGAUGAUUGUCAUCUCGUGUGAUCCUGGGAGAUGGCGGAAGUCCGGGGACACGUGGAGUGUGGGCUCCUUUGGAGGCUGAUGGAACCCUCCUGAGUGUAAGUGAUUCCUUCCUGAAGCAUGCUGAUUUUCCUCAUUUGCAGGGGCAAAGACUGGAUCGAUGAUGACUUCCAUAUAUACAUUCCUUGGAAAGCUGAACAAAAUGAGUGAAAACUCUAUACCGUCAUCCUCGUCGAACUGAGGUCCAGCACACUGCUCGUCAGGGGCUAGAGAGAGGGACAACAUCCGUUUGUUGACACGGGCUGUGUCACCACUUGGGAUGGCAUCGUCUUUGGGCGAAGUGGAGCAGCCGGGCAUUGUGGCCUUCCGUGGCUGAGAGACAGCUGGGUUGAAGCACUUCCCUCUGUGCGGCUGUGUGUGUUCUUGAUUCAUACUCCUUGGGCCCUGCUCUCCCCCGAGGAAGACCGUGGCUUCUGCAUGGGCAGACAGCACAGUGUUGUUCCUGGGCACUUCUUUGGUUCACUUUCAUCCUCCUCUGGGGACGUGGGAGUUCCCAUGGUGUUUGGGUAGCAGUGGG